CUGGCGGCGUGCCUAAUACAUGCAAGUCGAACGGCUUUUCUAUGGAAGCUUGCUUCCACUGAGAAGAUAGUGGCGAACGGGUGAGUAACACGUGGGUAACCUGCCCAUAAGAGGGGGAUAACAUCCGGAAACGGGUGCUAAUACCGCAUAGUUUUCUUGAUCGCAUGAUCGGGAAAGGAAAGACGGCCUUUGUGCUGUCGCUUAUGGAUGGACCCGCGGCGUAUUAGUUAGUUGGUGAGGUAACGGCUCACCAAGACGAUGAUACGUAGCCGACCUGAGAGGGUGAUCGGCCACAUUGGGACUGAGACACGGCCCAAACUCCUACGGGAGGCAGCAGUAGGGAAUCUUCCGCAAUGGACGAAAGUCUGACGGAGCAACGCCGCGUGAGUGAAGAAGGUUUUUACCGGGAUCGUAAAACUCUGUUGUCAGAGAAGAACAAGUUGGAGAGUAACUGCUCCAGCCUUGACGGUAUCUGACCAGAAAGCCACGGCUAACUACGUGCCAGCAGCUGC
rnacentral:rRNA from 1 species